UGCUCCCACGUCCAAGGACGGCAGCAGGCGCGAAAAUUGCCCACUCUUUGCAGGAGGCAGUUAUGAGACGUGAAGAUGAGUAUCUUGUAAAGAGGGAUAGGAGAAUUGGAGGGCAAGUUUGGUGCCAGCAGCCGCGGUAAUACCGACUCCAAGAGUGUGUAUGAGAGAUGCUGCAGUUAAAAAGUCCGUAGUCAUAGAAGGGCAAAGAGAGAUGCGAGGUCUCACAGUGCGAUGAUGGAGGAGCCGAUGGGGAACAUAGUAUACCAGGGCGAGAGAUGAAAUGCCAAGACCCCUGGUGGACUGAGCGAGGCGAAGGCGAUGUUCUUGUAGGCAUUCGGUGAUCAAGGACGAAGGCUGGAGUAUCGAAAGUGAUUAGAUACCGCAGUAGUUCCAGCAGUAAAAGAUGCCGACAUGCUCAUUGGACACAGUGGGCAGGGAGAAAUCUUAGAGUUCGGGCUCUGGGGAUAGUAUGCUCGCAAGGGUGAAAAUUAAAGAAAUUGACGGAGCUACACCACAAGGAGUGGAUUGUGCGGCUUAAUUUGACUCAACGCGAGGAAACUUACCAGGGCCAAGUAUUGUGUAGAAACGAGCAAUACAGGAGUGGUGCAUGGUCGUUGGAAAUUGAUGGGAUGACUUUGACCUUAAAUGGUUGAAUGAGUGAGAUCUUUUGGACAUGUUCCGCACGGAACAGGAAGGAAAAGGCUAUAACAGAUCCGAGAUGCCCUCAGAUGCCCUGGGCUGCACGCGCAAUACAAUAGCAGGUAGAGAGAGAGACAGGAAGGUGCUCAGAUGGACUAUGUGCUGUAAGGCACAUACGAAAGAGGAAUUCCUAGUAAGUGUGUAUCAACAAUGGAUAU
rnacentral:rRNA from 1 species